UACGAAGGGGGCUAGCGUUGUUCGGAAUUACUGGGCGUAAAGCGCACGUAGGCGGGUCGUUAAGUCAGGGGUGAAAUCCUGGAGCUCAACUCCAGAACUGCCCUUGAUACUGGCGAUCUCGAGUUCGGGAGAGGUGAGUGGAACUGCGAGUGUAGAGGUGAAAUUCGUAGAUAUUCGCAAGAACACCAGUGGCGAAGGCGGCUCACUGGCCCGAUACUGACGCUGAGGUGCGAAAGCGUGGGGAGCAAACAGG
rnacentral:rRNA from 1 species